GACGAACGCUGGCGGCGUGCCUAAUACAUGCAAGUCGAGCGCAGGAAGCAAGCGGAUCCCUUCGGGGUGAAGCUUGUGGAAUGAGCGGCGGACGGGUGAGUAUCACGUGGGCAACCUGCCUUGCAGACUGGGAUAACUCCGGGAAACCGGGGCUAAUACCGGAUGACCAUUUGGAUCGCAUGAUCCGGAUGUAAAAGUGGGGAAUUUAUUCCUCACACUGCGAGAUGGGCCCGCGGCGCAUUAGCUAGUUGGUAAGGUAAUGGCUUACCAAGGCAACGAUGCGUAGCCGACCUGAGAGGGUGAUCGGCCACACUGGAACUGAGACACGGUCCAGACUCCUACGGGAGGCAGCAGUAGGGAAUCAUCCGCAAUGGGCGAAAGCCUGACGGUGCAACGCCGCGUGAACGAUGAAGGUUUUCGGAUCGUAAAGUUCUGUUAUGAGGGAAGAACAAGUGCCGGUCAAAUAGGCCGGCACCUUGACGGUACCUCACGAGAAAGCCCCGGCUAACUACGUGCCAGCAGCCGCGGUAAUACGUAGGGGGCAAGCGUUGUCCGGAAUUAUUGGGCGUAAAGCGCGCGCAGGCGGUCUCUUAAGUCUGAUGUGAAAGCCCACGGCUCAACCGUGGAGGGUCAUUGGAAACUGGGAGACUUGAGUGUAGGAGAGGAAAGUGGAAUUCCACGUGUAGCGGUGAAAUGCGUAGAUAUGUGGAGGAACACCAGUGGCGAAGGCGAC
rnacentral:rRNA from 1 species